rnacentral:lncRNA from 1 species
UGGCUGGUUGCUGUUUACAUAACGGUGCUAACACUGCUUUGCCAGAAGGGAAAGCAGUUUACGAAGAAAUUCUGCCAUGAGGGAAGAGGUCAGAGAUUCUGGGCUAGAACCUAGGUCUGUGGCUUCUUAGUCCCUGUCAUUUUAUUUACCUCCAAAGAAAUAGCUUCUUUUUUUUUAAUUUCAAAGCUGGUGGGCAGUUCUCACUCUCUUGUGACUCUCUUGGGACAAAUCAUCCGCUGACAAAAGGAGCUGGAGACGCAAUAGCAUGCAACUAAGUCAAUACCAAGCAUGCUUAGGCUAAUGUAACCCUGAACCAGACCAGCAACUGUGGAAUGAGCAGCUGAGUGUGCAGUGACGUCUGCAUCUGCUCCUGUAUGGAAACCUCUCAAAGGCUUUCAGAGCUGUGACUGGACAGGAGAGAAGGGGUGGACAUCAUCUUCUGGGAAUUCAAGUAAGAACUGCUCUUUGGGACCCUUAACUGCAAUCAGAGAAAGAUUGUAACAUGUAGAAAGGAGCUUACAAGACAAAACAACAACAACAACAACACUCUUAUCCAAAAAGAGACCUUCAUUGCCAUCAUCCCUGAAGGCAUUUUUCCAGCUCCUCCUUGAAUACUUUCAGUGUUGAGCCAUUCAUUGUGUCCAGUGGUAGUCAACUCCAAUUUUGGAUGCACUAAAACCUUCUUCUGAAUACUGAAUAAGUCUGCCUCUCUACCAUUUGCCUCUGUUAAUCUAAAUAUACAAACUUCAAAUGGAAACUUUCUCAAUUGUCCCAAGUAUUUAUCUGAUUCUUCUAUGUGUCCCA